UACGUAGGUGGCAAGCGUUGUCCGGAAUUAUUGGGCGUAAAGCGCGCGCAGGCGGUCCUUUAAGUCUGAUGUGAAAUCACGUGGCUCAACCACGUGCGGUCAUUGGAAACUGGAGGGCUUGAGUGCAGAAGAGGAAAGUGAAAUUCCAAGUGUAGCGGUGAAAUGCGUAGAGAUUUGGAGGAACACCAGUGGCGAAGGCGACUUUCUGGUCUGUAACUGACGCUGAGGCGCGAAAGCGUGGGGAGCAAACAGGG
rnacentral:rRNA from 1 species